CCUACGGGGGGCUGCAGUGGGGAAUAUUGGACAAUGGGGGGAACCCUGAUCCAGCCAUGCCGCGUGUGUGAAGAAGGCCCUCGGGUUGUAAAGCACUUUCAGGGAGGAAGAACGCCUGGUGGUUAAUACCCAUCAGGAAAGACAUCACUCACAGAAGAAGCACCGGCUAACUCCGUGCCAGCAGCCGCGGUAAUACGGAGGGUGCGAGCGUUAAUCGGAAUUACUGGGCGUAAAGCGCGCGUAGGUGGCUUGAUAAGCCGGUUGUGAAAGCCCCGGGCUCAACCUGGGAACGGCAUCCGGAACUGUCAAGCUAGAGUGCAGGAGAGGAAGGUAGAAUUCCCGGUGUAGCGGUGAAAUGCGUAGAGAUCGGGAGGAAUACCAGUGGCGAAGGCGGCCUUCUGGACUGACACUGACACUGAGGUGCGAAAGCGUGGGUAGCAAACAGGAUUAGAUACCCCGGUAGUC
rnacentral:rRNA from 1 species